AGAGUUUGAUCCUGGCUCAGGAUGAACGCUGGCGGCGUGCCUAAUACAUGCAAGUCGAACGCGGUGCUUUUGUAGCAAUACGAGAGUAUCCUAGUGGCGAACGGGUGAGUAACGCGUUGGUGACCUACCCCAAAGUGUGGGAUAACAGUCCGAAAGGAUUGCUAAUACCGCAUGUGGUUAUUGGAUUUAGAAACCGGUAACUAAAGGAGCAAUUCGCUUUGGGAGGGACCUGCGUCCCAUCAGCUAGUUGGUGAGGUAAUGGCUCACCAAGGCUACGACGGGUAGGGGACCUGAGAGGGUGACCCCCCACAAUGGAACUGAAACACGGUCCAUACACCUACGGGUGGCAGCAGUAGGGAAUAUUGCACAAUGGGCGAAAGCCUGAUGCAGCAACGCCGCGUGUGUGAUGAAGGCCUUCGGGUCGUAAAGCACUUUUCUGGGAGAUGAGAAAGGACAGUAUCCCAGGAAUAAGUCUCGGCUAACUACGUGCCAGCAGCCGCGGUAAAACGUAGGAGGCGAGCGUUAUCCGGAUUCACUGGGCGUAAAGCGCGUGCAGGUGGCGCGGUAAGUUGGGCGUGAAAUCUCCCGGCUCAACUGGGAGAGGUCGUUCAAUACUACCGUGCUUGAGAGCAGAAGAGGAAGAUGGAAUUCCCGGUGUAGUGGUGAAAUGCGUAGAUAUCGGGAGGAACACCAGUGGCGAAGGCGAUCUUCUGGUCUGUUUCUGACGCUCAGACGCGACAGCUAGGGUAGUAAACGGGAUUAGAGACCCCGGUAAUCCUAGCCGUAAACGAUGUGAACUUGGCGUUGGUGGGUUAAACUCCAUCAGUGCCGUAGCAAACGCGAUAAGUUCACCGCCUGGGGACUACGGCCGCAAGGUUAAAACUCAAAGGAAUUGACGG
rnacentral:rRNA from 1 species